GGGAGCAACAAAAGCACUGGGAAUGUACCUAAACUCAUUAGAUCUUAGAAGAUAAGCAGGGUUGGACCUGCUUAAUACUUAGAUAAGAUACCAGGUGAAAAUACCAAGUCUUAGUAGGCU
rnacentral:rRNA from 1 species